CUCUCUGUACGGGAAGGAUGAGAAGCUUCGACCAAGGUUCGAUUCGAGCGCAGCGAGAAAGCGUUGCCGCAGGCAACGACCCGAAGGGCGAAGCGCGCAGCGCUGAGUCAUCCUUCCCCCACCACCA
rnacentral:sRNA from 12 species